rnacentral:lncRNA from 1 species
AGUCCAUGGGAUCCGCGGACUACGCCACCUCGCAGAGUUCCGACGCUCUGGCCACUGCCUCCGUCUGUUUUGUUCUCUCCGGUCCAGAGAGUGCGGAGACUUCCGGGGAGCGAACGUGUACGGGUUUCCAGAGUAACCCCGACAACAGGCAGUGAGAUGGCAGCUCUGAGCAGCUUGCUCUAGAACCAACUGUGCGUCCUCCACUUGGACCAAUACCAAUGGGAGAAGCUGGCCAAGCUCUGAGAAGCCGUGCACACCCAAGGAGCAGAGAUGCCAUGGCUUUUUGGUGGUAUUGGCAGGAUGAUACCAGAGGCUAAAUGAUAAGAGCUGAAUGAAUUCUCCAGGCUCUAGCUGAGAGUUCCUCCUGUCUCCUUCAUGAAGCUGAGCUGGAAGCCUCAGAGCCUUCGCAUCAGAGGUGCCAGAGUCCCUGAGCAGUGGCCCUGUCCUGCUGGCUUUGGAUUGUCUGCCUGCAAGUUGGAUGGAUGCAGCCAGAGGCUGGGGUGAUGAACACGGCUUCCACUGGUGGGCAAAGUGAACUGGGGACCAUCCCCUGUCCUCCACGGGUCUCAACUUUGUCUGCUGGUAAAGGAGAGGUUAGAACUAGAAGUCUCAGGCUUCUGUCCGGCCUGGGGAUUCAAACACCUUUCAGAGCUGAGUUCUAUCAAUUUUCCCGUGUUGGCCCAGGCAAACCACUUUAUUAGCAGCCUCUACAAGGUGCCAAAUCCUGGCUUCUUCCAGUCCCUGGUUCUCAGUGCAGUCAGGGCCCACUCCAGUUGAGCAGCAACCUCAUCGUUGCUGUCAUCACAGGGAUUCUUUAUUCCAAAUCCAACAGUGGCUUGCUGUUCCCAUGCCUAGCCUCACUGCCCUGUGCAGUGGGUAGAAUCCUCUUCUCAGAGGAUGAAAUUGAGGAGCAGAGACAUACACAAAGUUGGGAGUGACCAGGAUUCUCCUCAUCUCUUCACACCAGCCCCAAC